rnacentral:rRNA from 1 species
GAUGAACGCUAGCGGCAGGCCUAAUACAUGCAAGACGAACGGUAACAUGAGUAGCAAUACUUGAUGACGAGUGGCGCACGGGUGCGUAACACGUAUGUAAUCUUCCCACAACUGGGGGAUAGCCCGGAGAAAUCCGGAUUAAUACCCCAUAACCCAGCGAGGUGGCAUCACCUUUCUGGUAAAUCUCCGGAGGCUGUGGAUGAACAUGCGUCCGAUUAGCUAGUUGGCGGGGUAACGGCCCACCAAGGCUACGAUCGGUAGGGGUACUGAGAGGUUAAACCCCCACACUGGUACUGAGACACGGACCAGACUCCUACGGGAGGCAGCAGUAAGGAAUAUUGGACAAUGGAGGCAACUCUGAUCCAGCCAUGCCGCGUGAAGGAUGAAGGCGCUAUGCGUUGUAAACUUCUUUUGAACGGGAAAAAACCCCUUUACGUGUAAAGGGUUGAUUGUACCGUUAGAAUAAGGGUCGGCUAACUUCGUGCCAGCAGCCGCGGUAAGAC